GAAGUAUAAAGGUUGUUUGAGUUAUAAAUAGCAAACCAAGAUUAGAGAUGGCCAGGAGGUGGAGCCAUGAAUGAUCUAUCCUAGGUACACCUCCAGCUUCCCAUACCAUCUCCUCGGCCUCUUCCCUCCCCCCUUGGCCUUCUCCUUCUGAUGAAUCAUUUUUCCUAUGUUUGUCGCUGCUUGCUAAUCGUUGCUCCAACCGUUGAGUUUGUGCAGUGGAUUUCCUUUCCUAGCAUCACCACAUGUAAAACAGGGGAGAUUUAAGAUCCAACACAUCAGCGAAGUGGCGCCCUUGCUGACACAAGAAUACGUCCAGGUCUCGUAGAACACCUAACGCUGGAUUGUGCAGUGAUCUAGGGAUUGCGUAUUAGGAUAUUGAGGAUGGGAUUUUCACAAAUUGCUAUAGUCCAAUUAUUUUCUUCCCUUCUACCCUGAUACAUGCCAGAUCAUCUGUUAUAAUGGUGUUUGCUGCUGGAGGCACAUCCCGAUUCGUCGAUAGGGCUGAGUGCACCUGCCUCAUUCACAAGAUAAACGACGCUCCGCGUCAGCAUCCUCCCCGUUCGCGAUUGGCUCGAGCGGCACCGAUGGAGCGACGACUCUGUUUCCCAGAAGGCGAAAGGCCGAUGAGAUCGACAGACGAUUCGUGUCGAUCGCACACCGGUAGGCGGUGGCGAGCCGCGUGAGAUCUCUCGCGUCCUCCCGGUUCUCAGGGACCACGACGUCCGCGCCGACGCGCACCUCUACAACGCGCUAAUGAAGGCGAACGUCGCGGCGGACGACCCCGGUGCCGUCCUCAGGGUGUUCCGGCAGGUUUCAGUUACUGGUACAUUCUUGGUGAAUAAAGAACAUGUGGAAAGUCACAGGUGGUCAUGUAUGUUUGGGGAUGUUGAAGUACCAGCUGAGGUUUUGACCGAUGGCACGCUACGCUGCUAUGCACCAGCACACCAAUCAGGAAGAGUUCCAUUUUAUGUGACCUGUUCAAACAUGGUGGCUUGUAGUGAAGUGCGAGAAUUUGAGUAUCGUGAUUCUGAAGCUCAUUACAUGGAGACUUCUCGUUCCCAAGCCAAUGGUGUAAAUGAAAUGCAUCUACACAUUCGUCUUGAGAAGCUACUCACUUUGGGGCCAGAUGACCAUCAAAUGCUUGCUAUAAAUUCCUUAAUGCUUGAUGGGAAAUGGUCAAAUCAAGAAUCUUCUGUCAAGGAAGUAGUUUCCACUGCUAGGGUCCAAAGUUUAAAGAAACUGGUGAAAGAGAAGCUGCAUCAAUGGCUCAUCUGCAAAGUAAACGAUGAUGGAAAGGGUCCCAAUGUUCUGUGCAAGGAAGGACAGGGUGUGAUUCAUUUAGUAGCAGCACUGGGUUAUGAUUGGGCUAUAAGACCGAUAAUAAUUGCUGGUGUCAAUGUGAACUUCCGGGAUGCUCAUGGAUGGACUACACUCCACUGGGUUGCGUCUUUGGGAAGAGAGCGGACAGUUAGUGUUCUCAUAGCAAAUGGACACAAGAUCCCGAUGCGGCAGUGGCGGACAGCAACGGGCGCUCAACGCCAUCGCGCCUCCUGCGAACCCAUGGUGAGAUGUGUGGUCUCGAUCUAGAGUCGAAGGACUUCCCCAACACCCUUUCCUCCAUCGGCGCGACAUCGGCCAGCUCAUCUGCGACGAUGAGGCAUCUUCGACCGACUUCCCAACACCCCAUCCUCCAUCAAUGCGGCUCCAGUACCCCUUCCUCCAUCGGCGCGACAGCAUCCAGUUCAUAUUGAAUUUCCUCUCAAUUGUUUUUAACUUUCUAAUUUAUUAAUCGCUGGUGUUAGAUCAGGUAGGUGGCGGCUAAGAAAAAUGAAGAUGGUGGCAGCUAAGAAACUCUAAAGCCACUUCUGAUUCACAUAUGAUGCGACCACAGAAAUUGAAGAUGUCGUGACCUGGGAAUAGAUUCGGCAGUGGAGCAUCUUCAAACAAGAACAACCGGGGAUGCUUCUAGCUCUGGUACUCUUUUUUGAUAACAGGAAGUUCAAGGAUGUGAAUUUUCCACCAGCUAUGUCUCCCCCAAAACGGUGGGAUCAUGUGUGGUAUGCUCUAACAGGGUAUGGUAUUGGCUUGGUAGCUGCACUAGAUGCUGGGAUCUUGUCUUAGUCUCCUCAACAGCCUUACUGUACCUGGUAAGUGUUAUCAGAUUAUACGGUCAGGAUUUGGACAUUAUUGCCAUUUUUAUGUUAAAUUAUGCUUCUCUGACUUGGUCAUGUGUACGUCAUAGCAUGGAGCCAUGGUAUAGUGAUAGUGUGACCAGUUGCCCCCCCUCGAAAUCCACUCCUUUCUCAUCUAUAUUUGCUUCAGGUGAUGUCCAUGUCAACUGGGCUAGCCAACAUGAGUUUGAAACAUAACAGGUAAACCAGACUACAUUGUUUUAAAAAUAAUCGACAAAAUAGUCUUCGAUAGUUUUAAAAAUAAUCGAUAGUUUCUGCAAAUCAAUAACUGAUAUUCUCUUUGAGUAAGAAAAAAAAGCGCUAGCUCUGCACUAGGGAGUUUCAGUUAGGCACAACCACACUACAUUGAGUAUCAUCCUGUAUGUGUAGCUCGAUGUAAUGCAAUCAAUAACUGAUAAUCUCUUUGAGUAAGCUUAUUUUCAGUUUUGUUUUAAGUAUGGGUGUUUUUGAAGAGACCUUCACUACAUAAAGGGAAAAAAGAAACUGUUGAUUGGAAAGAACUGCACAUAUUGAUGUCUUCUAAUCUGUUUUAUGAACAGAUUUGAAGCAAACAACCAUAUCUUUCCCUUUUCUCAUCCCCAUAUUUGGUGAUAUGGAGAUG